ACGCCACGAGCGCCGCGCUCCCCUACGAGCCCCAGCGCCCGCAGCCCCUGCUCCGUGCCCGCAGCCCCUGCUGGGGGCUGCAGCUUCCCAGCCACGAGCAGCCGCUCUGGGACGGCCGCUGGGGCCGAGGCGUUGCUGCUCCCGCUGCCAUUGUGCCUGGGGUGGGACUGGAGCCCCAGGGAAACGCUAGGAAAAACCCCAUGGGUUAAAAAACCAGUGCAAACGAUUUGUUCUUUAUUUCCAGAGCCGUGGGAAUCAUCAAGUCAAAUGUGAGAAGUGACUGGCCCAGCUGUGCAUCAAACCCAGAAUUUUGGCCUUCUCAGCACCCUGCUCCAAACACCUGAGCCAAUCCCAGGGCUGUUCCAAAGGCCCUGUGUGGGAUGGCAAUGACUGCUGCCACUAAGAGAACUCCUCUGCAAAUGCAGCUCCUUCCCUUCUGCUACUGCUGCUUUGCACAGCAGCCCCUGCAAUGGCUGUGGGGCAGAACUGGCUGGCACUCAACAUGGCAGCACCAAACUCUUCCCCAUAGCCCUGAUUGUUCUGCCCUUGCCAGGAUUUCCCCAGCAGCUGUAAAUGUGCUCCCACAAUGUCCCUUUGUUUCCCCAGGAAGAAGCCAACAAGACAAGCCCUGAGGGUUACCUUGCUCCGUGGCCAAAGCUCUUCUGGAGAGUGCCGGGGGGCGUUGCCUGCAGGUGAGUGUUGCCAGCUCCAAACCAUGCUGGCUGCUGAGGCCAGGGCUGUUUUUCUGGCCCAGGGGCCUCGGUGUCUCCUGCUGGCUGCCAGCCAUGCUCCUUGGUGUUCCCUGGCUGUGUCCCAGCUGGCUGGGAGCGCAGGGCAGGAGGAGGCCAGGAGCUCCUGAAAGGCAGCAGCACCUCGUGUCUUUGGCAUCUGCAGGGGAGGAGCUGUGCCUGCACUGUGGCUCCUGGGCCAGGGGCUGCUCUGAGCAGGCCCCUGGAAAUGCUUCAGCCCGGACAGAGACCACCAGCAGCCCAGCAGGACCCCAAGGAGCAGCUGGCAUUGCUGGGAAUGGAGGCACGGGCCCUUUGCAGAGGGGCUCAGCAGCAACUCCUGGCUCAGAGCUCCCACACAGCUGCCAGCUGUGGCCCAGCCACCCCAAAUCCCUUCCCUCCUCCCCAGCCUGAGGCCAUCGGCCAUCAGCAGCAUCAAAGCCAAGGCCAUCUUCCCCCACAGAUGUUCAAUCCCAGGCAGCAGCCCUCAGAGGUACCUGAAAAUCAGUGGGAUGGAGUUCGGAGUUUUUCAGGGAUCCAGCUGGAAGUGCAGAAGUGAUGGAAAGCUUUCCCAGGUGCCCUGGUGCCACCGUGUUGGUCCCUUGGCCUUUCUCCAGCCCGAGGCUGCUCCUCUGCUCGCUCUCUGCAGUCUCAUCCCACAGGGAUCCUCUUCUCCCUUCCCUGCUGGCUGCUGCCAAGGAAGGAGGCCACAGGGAGUCUCCAGUGCUGCCCCCUCAGCCCUGGAGAGUCCUGGCUGUGGGCCCAAGGGGCCUGGGAUUUCCCAGGGAAAUUGUCUGCUCGUCUCCCUUCCAUGACCUCAGCAAUUCCCUCCAAAAUGCCACCUCACUGCCCCUGACAUCCCCUCACAUUCCAUUGCCCUACACAAACAGUUCUUGGAUCCCCUCUAGAUCACACCAGGUUUUCAGCCACAUGAAUGGCAUCACCUGUGCCCACUGCUCGUUAUUCACCCAACCAAAAUCAAGAGCAAAUGUUGGUUGGGCUUUAAUAACAACUUGAAAGAACUUUACAGCACAAUAAAUCACCUUUUUCUUC